AUUGAACGCUGGCGGCAUGCUUUACACAUGCAAGUCGAACGGCAGCGCGGGCUUCGGCCUGGCGGCGAGUGGCGAACGGGUGAGUAAUGCAUCGGAACGUGCCCAGUAGUGGGGGAUAGCCCGGCGAACGCCGGAUUAAUACCGCAUACGACCUGAGGGUGAAAGCGGGGGACCGAAAGGCCUCGCGCUAUUGGAGCGGCCGAUGUCGGAUUAGCUAGUUGGUGGGGUAAAGGCUUACCAAGGCGACGAUCCGUAGCUGGUCUGAGAGGACGACCAGCCACACGGGGACUGAGACACGGCCCAGACUCCUACGGGAGGCAGCAGUGGGGAAUUUUGGACAAUGGGGGCAACCCUGAUCCAGCCAUGCCGCGUGCGGGAAGAAGGCCUUCGGGUUGUAAACCGCUUUUGUUCGGGAAGAAAUCCUCUGGGCUAAUACCCCGGGGGGAUGACGGUACCGGAAGAAUAAGCACCGGCUAACUACGUG
rnacentral:rRNA from 1 species